UACGGAGGGUGCAAGCGUUAUCCGGAUUCACUGGGUUUAAAGGGUGCGUAGGAGGGCAGGUAAGUCAGCGGUGAAAUCUCUGGGCUUAACCCGGAAACUGCCAUUGAUACUAUCUGUCUUGAAUGCGGUGGAGGUGAGCGGAAUAUGUCAUGUAGCGGUGAAAUGCUUAGAUAUGACAUAGAACACCAAUUGCGAAGGCAGCUCGCUACACAUAUAUUGACGCUCAUGCACGAAAGCGUGGGGAGCAAACAGG
rnacentral:rRNA from 1 species